rnacentral:rRNA from 1 species
UACCAGCACCCCGAGUGGUCGGGACGAUUAUUGGGCCUAAAGCAUCCGUAGCCGGUUUUACAAGUCCUCCGUUAAAUCCAGCUGCUUAACAGAUGGGCUGCGGAGGAUACUAUAAGACUAGGAGGCAGGAGAGGCAAGCGGUACUCAGUGGGUAGGGGUAAAAUCCGUUGAUCCAUUGAAGACCACCAGUGGCGAAGGCGGCUUGCCAGAAUGCGCUCGACGGUGAGGGAUGAAAGCUGGGGGAGCAGACCGG